rnacentral:pre_miRNA from 1 species
UCUUAUGGGUGAGCAAAGAAGGUGGUUUCUUAAGACGGACUCUGCCCCUGUGAAGAUGCUGUGAA